AAAAUGUGGUUUCUCACACACACACACACACACACACACAAACACACACACACAGUAACAAUGGAGUAAGGAGGAUUUUUUUUUUUCUUUUUGCAAGCCUUUAAACAACUACUUAAUGAAGGAUAUUCUUACAUUUUCACUGCUCCAACGAACACAAAACUUUUUUGAACACUGUAAAGCUAAACAUGGUAAGAAGUGGAGAGGAGAAGAUGGGAUAUAAAAUGAUACCAUUAGAUUGUGAGGAGAAGGAGAAAGAAUAUGGAGCCUGCAUAUUCAACCAUUCACCACUUCCUGGGGAAGUUGCAUUGAACAUGAACAGAACAAAUUCACCAACAUCAGCACUUACAGCACUAAAUGUGGACCUGCGUAGCCCUACUGAAAUUACAGAGCAAACUUCAUCUUCUCAAAAAGGUACAAAGUCUCAGAAAACAAAAACUGAUCGGACAUACCUGGGUGUCAGAGUAAGAAUGCCAGUAAAAGAUAUGCUCAGAAAUAUUCGCAUAGCCAAGGGAAUGGACCCCAAAGAAAUGCAGAAGAAAGAAAACAAAGGAUCAAAAGGGGAUAAAAAACGAGUAAAUAUAAGUAGCUGUCGGAGAAAUGGGCCGAAAAACUGGCAAACAAAGAGUUUGGAAGAGCUUGCCAUUAUUGUGGAGGUGUUGGAGGAAGACCUUAAGGCUAGUACAUCCAGACAGUCAAGUAACCACCUGGUUACUUUCACCCCAGAGCUGGGAAACAAGUUCUGGUCUAAGAACGUACUUCAGCAAGAACAUCUAGAUGAACCACCUUCAACUCCAACCAUUUGUUAUGCAGCCACUAAAAAGUCCUCUAUGCAGUCUGAGGAAACCUAUGGCUCUGCAUAUAACCAGGCUGCAGAUACUAAGGUCAAAACUAGCAGUGAUGAGUCAGAUAACUAUAUACACGGAAGGCAGCAUGAAAUGACCUGCUUUCCAAGUGACAGGAAAGUGCAUGUCCCGUCCCCACAAGAAAUCUAUUUCAGCACCAAGAUGGAUUGGUGGGGUUCACCACACAAAAUAGGAAGUCUGUCAUAUUCCGACUCAGAACAGGAGCAGUGGAACAACAAGCACUUUUGGACAGAAUUGGAAAGAGAGGCACAUGUACUAAGCAAUAUCUCCAGCCACGAGCUUCUUACUUGCGAUGAGAAGGGAAGAAUACUCCUCCACCGAGCUGUUGAUGAGGGAAAACAAUCUCUUGUGUAUGUUGUUGCCAGACGGAUGGCAGCUUUAAACAAACUGGACAGCAAAGAUGCAGAGGGAAGGACUUCUCUCCAUUUAGCUGUGCAGAAGAAUCACCACAUGAUAGUUGCUGAUUUGAUUUCCCUUGGUGCAAACAUCAACGAAAGGGAUAAAUGUGGAAAAACAUGCCUCCAUCUCUGUGCAGAAAAUGGAUAUGUCAGAGUUUUAGAGGUUCUGAAAAGCUGCAUGAAAAAUGGAACAUAUAUAGAUUUGGAAGCACAAGAUAUGAACGGGAAUCUGCUCAUACAUGAAGAGUGCUAUUAUGAAAAGGCUCAGCGCACUGCAGCUUGCGUCGGUAGCUUUGAAGAGCAUAGUGGGUGAUAUGGAGAAAGGUUUGACAGUGAGCCAGACCAGAGUGCAUUCCAUGCGUAAGGAGCAAAUGAUGGAAACCCUCAAGUGCCUCCUGCAGAUGGAAUGUAACCUGCAAUGCAUGAACUGAAGAAAUUCACAGAGUCACUGCUUGGGAUCAUCCUGUUCUCCUGUUCAAUUAAAAGUGGUUUGUCCAGAUACACAACUACUUUUGACCAGGAAUUACGGGUAUUGGUCAAACAAAGCGGUGCUGUUACCUGGCGGUAAAUGUUUUUGGGUGAAUACAAGUUUUAACCUGCUGGAAAAAAUGUUGAGUUUACAUUUUAUUGCAGCAUGGUUAAUACUAUGUAUAUACAACCAGUUGGUGUUAUUGUGACAAGGGGUCCUUUGAGUCCUCUUAGUUAGUUAAUAACAUAAAUGGUUGUGAGUCAGCUGGUUUCUGUGAAACUUCCACCGUUUGCUAUGUUUAAAUAGCAAAACAGUUUUAAAGUAAAUUAGAAGUUUAGAACUUUUUAUUUCCACUUUAUUAGGUUAAGUUUUUUUUUAAUUGUGCUCCACGAGCAACAAUCAGAAAGAGGUGUUAAUACAGAUAUUUUACAUUUAGCAGACAUUUUAGCUUUUAGAUAUUUUUUUAAUGUAACUGAGCAAUUGAGGGUUAAGGGCUCAGGGUCCCUAUAGAGGUUGCUUGGUGGACCUGGGAUUUGAACUUACAAACGAUUGGUAGACCAACAGCUUAAACACUAGGCUACAACAUCCCACAUCUGCGAAAAUGGCGUAAAUGUUAAAAAAAAAAAAAAAAAAUUCAGAUAUAUAAUAUAGGUUUAUUUGAAUAUUUUAUCACGUAAUGUUUUUGUAUGUUGCUAGGUUCUACUUACAAAACAAUUGUAAAUCCUUGCUUUAAGGUUAAAUAGUAUAUAUUAUAAUUGAUACAUGAGAAAAUAAUACAUAAUCUUACAAAUACAUGUAACACCUUAUACUGAAUUGGGAUUUGGGAUUACUGAAGGGAUUUGUAAUGACUGGGAAUGAUUCGGGAACUGUCGGCUUUGUAGUCUUGGAUAUACAUGAUGGAUUUUUGAGAACUACUGUACUUAACACAGUAUUCAUACUUAAAACAACAUUUAUAUUAGUGAUUUUUAAAAAACAAAGAAAGAAAGAAAAAAAAGGAAUGUUCAUUUUAUUUGGUUUUUACAAUUUUUAACAUUUGUGAAUGAAUAGAUCAUGUUAAGUUAGCUGAGGUAAAAGUGUUACACAAGCCGUUUUGUCAAAAUUACUACCAUAGCUACUGUAGUGACAAAUGACCUGGAGCAAAGUAAAUGUGACUCUUCACAUGUGCGCACACACAUACACACACACACACACACAUUCUAGACUUUAUUAGGAAAACCUGUACACCUAUUAAGGGUGGAAGUUUGCCAAGUGAGUUUGAGAAAGUCAUGAGUUAUAUAUAGUCCUUGUGAAUUCCUUUGUUGGCUAAAAAACAACGUACAGUACCUCACUCUCACAAACCAAGAUCAGUGAAUAUCAAAAAUGUGAAUCAAUCUUAUCAAUAUACUCAUGAAUGAUUUUCAGGUCUGAGCUAAUUAUACUAGUUAGAGGAUGCUAAGUAUAGAAUUAGGUGGAAACAGAUGAUUCGCUGUGGAGACCCCAAUGGGAAAACCCGAACGUAGAAGAAGUAUAGUAAACAAUAAAGUGCCAGCAAUCCAGUGCAAAUAAAUAAUCCAGACACAGGUCAAGAGCUUCAGUUAAUGUUCAUAUGAAACAUUAGAAUGGGGAAAAGUGUCACUUUCAUGGUCUGUUGAAGUUAGAAAUUAGUUAGGAAUUUUUACAAACGAGUUUACACUUCUGUGGGUUGAUGUGCCUUUGAUAAGCAAGGACAGACAAGAAGAGCCGGUAAGAUGACAAGAAGGAAAAGUAACUAAAAUAAUCACUCUACAUCUAGUCUUAGCUAGUCUUUUUACAGCCUUCAUGUGGCCAGUUUUGGUGAACUUGUACCCAAGAUAGCUUCAGACUCUUGUUCAUGAAUAACAGGGGUGGAACCUGAUGUGGUCUUCUGUUGUUGAAGCGCAAGGUCUGAUGUGUUGUGCAUUCGUGAUGCUUUUCUGCACACUUGUGAAAGAGUGAUUAUUUGAGUUGCUAUUGUUUUCCUGUCUAUGCUCAGUCUGGGGAUCAUUCUGCUCUGAUCUUUCUUAUCAACAAGCUUUCUGAUGCCUGUGGACCCUCUGCUCACCAGAAGUUUUUUAUAUUUCAUACCAUUUUGUAUAAACUCUAGAGACUGCUGUUGGUGAAAAUCCCAAGAGAUCAGCAGUUUCUACACUAACAACCAUGCCACAGUUAAAGUCAAAGAGAUCACACAUUAUAUAAUGUUAUGAGGAUGUUAAUAUUAACCGAAGCUCUUGACCUGUUUUGGCAUUUUUUCUAAAAUCUGCCACAUGAUUGUCUGAUUGGAUAACCGCAUAAAUGAGUACAUUCCUGUUAAUGUGCCCUGUUUAAAUAAAAUGAUUUUCAGUAGCUGCUGCAUUGGGUCAGAUUCACAGAUUCAUGGUAAACACUGAGCCCAAUCCAGGAACACUGGUUAUGAGUGGAUGAGCGUAUAAGAUGGGACAGUAAUCUGUCAUUGUGUACACACAUACUGUACCUUCAUACCAAUGCAAGUUAUAUUAGUCAAAAGACCUAUACAUAAUGGUGAAAGAAAAGGGUUCCUCUAAGGUUAUUUGGAUAGUUCACCGUUCUUUGUUCUUUGUAAUGUUCCUCGUCUGGGUUACACCGGAGAAUGUGAUUAUAAAUAAUUUCCCUUCUAUUACUGUGCACCUAUGUACCCAAAAGCUUUUUAGCAACUUAUAAGUAUAAGCAUCAGUGUAAUUUCUGAAUUCUAUAUAGUUUUGACUAUAGUGCCUUCUUUAAAGCCAUGAAAUGUUCACUGACCGAGACCUUGCAACGGCGGUUCAAAGCCACUGCCAUGGUCUUACAAAUGGACUGCUUACUGUUACUCUUCCUAAUUAAUCCGAUUUGCUGAAUUCUGUGUUUUGGGACCAGGGAAAACUCUACAAUGUGUAGGACCAUCAUUUUAAAAUGAUAUGUUAAAAAUGUAUCUGUAUUUUUUGUUCAUGUUUUUUUUUUUUUUUUAACAUUAAAAAUAUGUAAUCAGUAAUAUCAAUACACCAAUCAAAUAUUCACCAGUCAGUAAUUUAAGGGAGAAAAUACAACUGGUUCUGAAGUGGGUUUUUGUUGACCAUGUUGGGAACGGGUAUAUUCCUUAUUUGACCUAUCAUGUCUUUAGACUCGCUUUAAUGAAAUUGUAGAUCAUUUUGUGGUUGUUUUGUGUAGAAUGUGGUAUUAUUUAAUGGUGUCAUAUACAUGCUUUAUCUUUUCAUUUUUAUUUUCAGUUUAACUAUGUUACUACUAAUGAUUUGUACAUUUCUGACAUAUGCUGAAGUACAAUUAAAGUAAUCGGAUCAUUAAA